GAUCUUACAGUCGGGGACAUCCAAUAAAAUUGGAAUGAUACAUAUAAGAUUAGCAUGGCCCCUAUGCGAGGAUGACACACACAAAUCAAGAAAUAGUAUCAAAGCUA